rnacentral:rRNA from 1 species
ACUCCUACGGGAGGCAGCAGUGGGGAAUAUUGGACAAUGGGCGCAAGCCUGAUCCAGCAAUGCCGCGUGUGUGAAGAAGGCCUUCGGGUUGUAAAGCACUUUUAUCAGGAACGAAAUACCACGGGUUAAUACCCUAUGGGGCUGACGGUACCUGAGGAAUAAGCACCGGCUAACUUCGUGCCAGCAGCCGCGGUAAU